rnacentral:lncRNA from 1 species
CUAUUGACCUGAUGACUACAGGUCCUUUUCUAUUUGCCGGAGUCUCUGCCCUUUGGCUUUUAGUUGCCGUGACUGGUGCUGAUGACUGCAAGUUUUACAGUCUGCAGUCCUUAACCGCGUACAUACCGUACCGUUUUAAGGACUGCAGUCUUUGAUGCUUAUUUUUGAAGUUCAAGUACUAAAAUUGGUAAGCCAAUGCAGUUGCCCUCCAACUCAGAGUUGCCAAACUAGCUGUCAUAGUGUUUGUUGUAAUUAAGGUUCCUUUUUCAAAACUAAUUUUCUUGAGGUUUGCUGAUCUUCUAAAUUAUUUUAUGCUAAACUUAUUGAUAAAAAGUGCUGUAGAAUUUUGGUUUCAAAGUGUUUUCUAUUUCAUAAGUAAUUUUGAAUGUACAAUGCAGUAUAUAUAGGCGAGAGGAACUGAUGGUUAGCAACCAUUUUUACGUGGAACCCUAGAGACCGGUUAAACCUAGGACACAAGCUUUUCCUUAAUUUAAGGUGAUUUACAUCAAAUCCAAGACUAAGAAGUAAUCAACAAGUUAAGUGCCUUAAAUCAAGGAGUUGGAAAAUUGGCGGUUGACUUGUGUAUCCAUGAUUACUUGUAGACUUGAAAUGAGACGACAUGCUAGGGUUGUUGUUGCUAGUUUAGUGUGACUGGUUCCAACACUCCCUCUCAAGCUAGAUCAUGAAGUGUAGUCGAGCCAAGCUUGCUCAAAAGCAUGUUUAACUGAGAAGAGGGUAAAGCCUUAGUGAAUAAGUCAGCCAAUUGAUCAUGGCUUCGAGUGAAUUGAGUCUGAAUGACUUGUGUUUGAACUUGAGCUCGAAUGAAAUGGCAGUCCACCUCAAUGUGCUUGGUUCUUUCAUGAAAAACAAGAUUAGCUGCAAUGUACAUGGCAGCUGGUUAUCACACAUUAGAGACAUGGGGGCUUGAUGUGAGAACCCUAAAUCUGAAACCAACCCUUUAAGCCAAAUCGGUUCGUAUGUAGUGGCUACCAUUUUUUGAUACUCCACUUUAGCACUAGAUCGUGCUAUAACAGUUUGCUUUUCACUCUUCCAUGUCACAAGGUUUCCCCCAAUGAAAGUGCAAUAUCUAGCGGUUGAUUUUCUAUCAAUUGUACUACCUACCCAGUCUGCAUUUGUGUAAGCAUUGAUUUGUGUGGACUGAUUGUUUGACAUAAGAAUGCCUCUGUCUCUAUAGCCAGAGCACUAUUAGAUGACGCUGGAUCUGCGGAAAAAAAAUUGGGAUAGACAGGGCUCACAAGGAAAUUUGAGCUUUCGUCAAAUAAAAUAUCCUUUUUUUUUAAUUCAUGUUAAUUUAUAGUAAUUUAUUUUAUUUUAUUUGGUUUUUAAUUCUUUUGUUGUUGUUUUAUGAUUAUGGGGUUUUGUUUUCGGACUCGAACGCCGUUGUCUUACGAAGUCCUCUGUAAUCAAGGUAAGCAAUUUGAAAAUUUUGGCAGAUUGAAAUCAGAGUUUCAAUUUACACAUUUGUUUAGAUUUGAUUUUAUUGAAGCAAAUUUAUGCAUAUUUUCCAUCAGCUUUUUCUUCUGUUACUUUGGAUAGGUCAUGUUGUCCAGAUUUUGAGCAUCUUCUUUUGGGAGUGAUUAAUACCUGCUGUGACAGGUUAGUUUUAUACUCUUUCUAAAAAAAAUUUAUGCAUAGUAUUUAAAUGUUGUGGCAUUUUAAAAUUCUUGCUUCUGUGGUUGUGAUAUGAUAUUAUAUAUUUGCUUUAUUUAAUUACAAUUUAGGUGUGAUGAAAAAUUUAAAAUUUCAUUUCAUUAUUUUCUUCCCAGCUAUCAAUCUGUAGCUUGGCAUUUACAAUUCUUUUGCACAUGAUGCGAAAAAGAACUAGAAAUAGCAAAAGAAAUUAGGGGAUACAAGAAGAUCAUACUUCUGACACUGCAAAUGGAAUAGAAAUGUUUAAUGAAAAUUUUUGCCAUGCUGAUGGUGCACAUGCACAGGUGAUGGCAUACUAAUAUAAUGGUUGCUCUUUUCCUUUGAUGUAGAAGUAAGAAGAUUGUUUUGCCUCUUAUGUAUCCUGCUUCUUUCUACGAUAUUUUUAGAGCGUCAAUAGCAUCUCUAUUUUUAUAUUACUUACACAUCCGCACACACAUAUAUAUGCAAGAGUCAAUUUCUACCAUGAGGAAUAAUCUUAAGAUUAUUCCAAAUUAAAUACGCAAGAAUCAAUUUCUACCAUGAGGAAUAAUCUUAAGAUUAUUCCAAAUUAAACUUGACAACAAUGCAGGUUGAAAAAAGACUUUACAUAAAAGCCUUGAUGUUAGUUCAAAUAGUGAAAAAGCAGAGAAAUGAGUUACGAUUAAGUUAAGUUAAAAGAAAUCGGUUUCUUUCAGUAUAACCAAAGAAAAACUUUACGGUACAACUAAGAAGUAAAUAGUUCACAUGAUUACAUCCAACUGAGAAUGGAUUCUAUCCAAAUGUAAGAUCCAAGGAAACAUGAACACAAAAUUAACUAAAUUUCUUGGUCUUUGUUUCAAAAAUUUGCACAAGGAAAUAAAGUAGAUAUAUGGGUGGGCAAAAAGCCAUCAGAAAACAAAGAGAACUGGGAGGGAUGAUGGAUAGGUUAGUCCCAACUUGACCAAAAUUGAUCCCAAAGAGGGGGCCAAAAAGGCACAAAAACUACCAAGCAAGAAAUAUUGGGGUAAGUGGGGAAAAUAGGUUUUCAGUGGUGCGCCACUAUCCUCAAAUCUUAUUGGAACCUAAGAAAUAUGUACAGGGAUGGGACUUGGGAGUGUUAACUACAUUGGAGAAGAAGCAAAGAUGAACAAUUGUAAACCAAGAAAUGAAGUUUUACAGAGAGAAGAGAAAUGUGAGAAAGAAUGAAUGAAGGUUUUGUAUUGAACUCAAUGAACUAACUUUACUAUUUGUUUACCAUAACUAUAUAUAGCUGACUAGAUGACUAAUUAACUCUUUCAACUUUUACAUCAUCCAAUCCUUUACAAUUGUUUUGAUGAGCUGGCAAAGAUGAGUUGGUCGUGAUAUAUUCAACAUCCCCCCCCCCCCAAUCUCAACUGGGUUUCUAAGUUUGAGAUUGAAUGAGUGUUUUGACAAAUGUAGAACUACAAAGUGCUUCUUGUUCAUGUACUCCUAGCCCUGCUCCCAUCAUCAAUUAAUCCUCUGUUCUUGGUGUUUAAGGGUGUCUCAAAUAGCAAACACUGAAAUAUGGACAAAUGGACGCACUGCAGAUUGAUCCUGAGCUUGAAAAUGCAUUUAGCUAUCACUUGCAGGACCAUUGGUUUUGUAUCUGGAAAAUGAGUGGAGAGUGGUAUAAUUUCGAUAGUCUUUAUGCGGCACCAUUGCACCUCUCAAAUUCUCAACCGCAAUAUCAAAUUCCAAAUUUCAUUUUUUUUUCUCAACUCUCUCAUGGGUUACUGUAAAAGUCAAAUCACAUUCAACUGCAUGAUCUGCACCUUCCUCAAACUGAUAGGUAUCCAUACUCAACAUGCUACUUGCUCACUAAACUGACAGGUAUUCAGAACUUAAAUCCAUACUUUGUAGCUACUAUUUUCUUUGCUCAUCCCUCAGCAAGAUUAUGGAACCAUUUUGUAUGCAGAACCCUCUGUUUCCAAUAGAAUACAUAAUCAAAGAAUAGCCUUUUAUAAAGUUGUAACACACCCUCAUGCCGGUUAUUACAAUUCCUUGCGGGAUUACCCUUCGUGGGAUUUACCGUCAUUAACUUCAUUUAACAUUGGGCCUUUAAAAUAGAAAAUUAACAAACUAUAGUGUGGCAUCGGCCUUAACUAUAGUACCACAGGAUCGCCCCUUGUGGAUUUUACCAAAAAACAAAAACAACUACUCUUAAUAGUGGCAUCACCCUUUCACAAUUUCAACAACAGAAUAUCAACAUCUAUGUAGGAUUACCUUUCGUGGAAUUUACCGUUUACAACUUCUUCAAACGUCAUCGUAUAACCGGACUUACUGUAGAUUUAUGCUAACAAUUGAGUUGGUUAGACUCGACAUUAUAGGCUGUGAUAAGAAAUAUACUGCACAACUCCUCAGUUAACACCAUAAACUUGGCUAUGCCAGAAUGCAAGAAUGCACACCCACACAUUCUCAUGCAUCGUCGUCUUCUUCCCAAAGUCUGAACCUUUCACAAGAAUUAGUAUCCCAACAAACCCCUGUGAUCAGGAACGUAACUCUGCAAGGUCAACUGUUGCAAUGGAGACUUAGUCCCAACACAUCUAUCUACCCAAAUCAAACACUCAUCAAAACAUUCACAAGAAAGAUGAACAAAAUCAAAUAUCCGUUCAUCAGAAACUUGGCAACAGUCAUCACCAAAUCAAUCUUCAAGACAUCAAUAUUACGGGACUGAGAUUCACAAACACUCAUCAGCAUAACUUGGAAAAUUAACCCGACCGGAAUCGAUCUCCAAGACAUCGUGCACCAAAUGAAAUAUCUCAAAUAUCACCAACACUGAUCUUGAAGUAAUGACCAAUCUUGAGUCCAAAUAUCCCAAAUAUCACACUAAUAUCCCAGAAAAGAUUCACAAGAAAGAUGAACAAAAUAGUGAACGUUUCCUUGUUGAAACAUUUAAUCAAACAUAUUAUGUGCACUGUGAAAACCAAAAAUCAAGAACCUGAUAAGAACUUCAAUCUUGACCCAAAUAAUGAUAAGGAAGCAAACCAAUCAAUCUACUGACCAGCAACAACAUUGGCUUCCCACCAAAAAAUUCAGACAAUGAUUUGAGCAGACCACCAAGAAGAAAGAACCAAAUCUCCAGAUCUCCGAUCUCCUCGUGGCAUUUAGUUUCAUUUAGGCAUUUUCACAAACACCAAGCAUAACCCCAAAUUCGAUAUUGUAGAAUGUAGUUGGCAAAGGAAAAUUAACCCAACAAUCGCCGAAAAAUCAACCCAAGAACAAUCACGGAAGCACCAAAAAAGUAAUGGAAAUUUCUGAAGAAAAUCUGAAGAGAAAAUAAAACUAGAAAAACGAUGAAAUCUAAUGAAAAACGGAACCACCAGAAUCCAUGGCGCGAGCCUGGUGGCUAUGAUACCAUGUUAACUACAUUGGAGAAGAAGCAAAGAUGAACAAUUGUAAAACCAAGAAAUGAAGUUUUACAGAGAGAAGAGAAAUGUGAGAAAGAAUGAAUGAAGGUUUUGUAUUGAACUCAAUGAACUAACUUUACUAGCUGUCUACCAUAACUAUAUAUAGCUGACUAGAGGACUAACUAACUCUUUCAACUUUUACAUCAUCCAAUCCUUUACAAUUGUUUUGAUGAGCUGGCAGAGAUGAGUUAGCAGUGAUAUAUUCAACAGGAACUCCAUCAAUCCAUGUCCCCACUAUUUCCAGCACCUCAAAAAGCUAAUAAAAAAAGCAUCCAAAUUAGUGUAUAACUAAAUUAUAAAAAAAUAAUAAUAAUAAAAAUAAAAAUAAACAAGAAGAUAGUGACAGAGAUUUGAGCAAGUCAUGCUCACAUAAAGCAACCAGUGAUCAUCUGCAGCUUUUGAGAAUAGCAUCAGCUUUUAACCGAAUCCAGCACCAAAUACAAGUGUGCCACAAACAUGUCUGCUGAUUGGUUGUGAGGGGAGACGCAAGAAUUCACCAUGGAUGCAUGCAUGGCCAUCAUGUUCGCGUUCCUGGAUUUCCAACGGAUGAAUGUGAGAGGUAUGGAAAGGAGAUAAAACAGUGACGUGUCUCUGAAUCAUGCGACAGGAUUAAACGGAUCGUUAUGGUUUCGUUUGGUGCCUGGAACUAGAUUGUAUUGGAUUACUAAAUAUAUUAAAAGCACGUUGAAGGAAGAAAUGCAGAAAUUUAAUACCGCUUGAAAAAUAGAAGUUGAAAUAAAGGAAACACAUCUUUUCAAUCCCGCAAAUUUCCACGGAUUAGAAGGAAUACGUUUGUUUCAUGUCAAAUCCCUUCUAAUCUUCGCAAAAUGCAAAAUCAUUAUAUCAUCAUUAUGUCAUCGAUAUAACUAAUAUUUUACGAUAUAGCCUAUUCAAAUCCAUCCCAGGGACCGAACGAGUAUAAACAACAAUGGAACAUCAAAUAUAACUAACAGAAGCAAAUUGAGUUACUAACCAACAGAUGCUGGAGUGCAUGGUUACAUAGCAGUCGACAGCUGCAACUUGCCUUACGAAAUUAAGUGAAAUACAAGAAAAUGAGUAUGCAUACUACAAAUCAUAAUACAAAUCAAAGAGAGGUCUGGAAUACACUUCAGGAGCCGGACGAGAGAGCUCCAAAAACCAGAUUCAGAGUGACAACAGCACAGCCAUUACGUUUAAUGGCCCAAUACGAGGGAUAAUCGCCUUCGUUUAACAGAGCGGAGGAUGAUAAAUAACUACAGGAGUUUCCGUUAUUACCACCAUAGCUCAAGUGCACGUUCAGUUGUUCAAAUUCUCAACUCCAAUCUUCUGCAGCUCAACCUUGAGAGACUUCAAGUACUGAACAGCUUCGUCCAGAACAGCAACGGUGUUCAUUUCAUUCCCACCAGGUACAAUCCCUCUCAUUUUCUGGCGUUUCCUUUCACUGUUGCAGCUGCUGCUGCUACCAACGCCAGAAGACUUUUCAAGUGAAGAACGCAGCCUUUCCUUCUUGGUUUUCAAACCAUAACUGGAGCAAGAAUCAGAGAAUGAGUUCCCAUAAUUUCCAUGAGUUCGUGCUGUACUGACCUCUUCCUCAUCAUAAUCUUCCAGCUCUUCCUCACCAAGCUCAACAAUGUAUCAAUAUCAUUGGAAUCCUCCUUCAGAGUAGAUUAUGCUUCUCUAUCGUCAUUAUUUCCCUCGUUCAAUCUGUUGAAAUGUAAUCUUGUCUUGGCCCAAGACAAUUGAUCCGGCCUAUACACAAAAAAAUAUCCAUGCACAUGCUAGAGAAUUCUAGCAAAUUUCAAAGUUGGUGGAAGGGUCUAGAAGAAUGGUGAGGGUUCCACCAACAUACAAGAUUAAUGUAGAUAAUUCUAGCUUAGAAGGUAGUGGAAUUAUCUAGAUAUCUCUAGCAUGAUGCUUCCAUGCUUCUCCAAGGUUCCAUCCAUGCCUAUAAAAGGAGAAGGCAUCCACACCAUUUGUAACAACCAAGAGAGCAAGUAGUGAGAAGUGAGAAGAAGCAACAAAGCUUCUAAGAGUGUUUGAGUGUUUCCUCUUGUACUAGUUUGUGAGUGAAUAAAAAAUUUUGUGUAAAAACUUUGAGUGUUCUUUCUUUCUCUUGCCUAUCAAUUCCGCUGCAUUACAUUCCUCUUUGUGAGAUAAACAUCUCCAAAGUAGUGAAGUCUUUUUAAGCCCCAACACAAUCCCAGAUUGUCUUGGAUGUAAGCUGCACAGAGGUUAAAGGCAGGACCAGUAAUUUUGUGGGCAAUUUCAGGAUUGAACAUAACCUAACUUCGAUGAUCAGUCUGGUCGAAGAUAAUGAAAUUCUUCGAGCAGAUGCUAAAGGUUUGAAAUUCAACACCAUGGAAAGGUUUAAAGUGAUUUGCCACAUUAGGUAAAACUACCCCAUACGCAGAAGCAACUGGAAUGUGCAUUACCCACUUGAUUUGCAAAGGGUGGAGCUGCCUUGUUGGGGUCAAACUGCUGGUCACUCUGCAUCAAAAAUUCAUACUAAGGCUUAACAGACGAAGUUUUAACCGAAGUGUGAGAUUCUUUGACUUGUAACUGGAUGAAGGUUCGCAAAAAUAAUACGAGAACUAUCUGCAAAUCAAGUUAUUUCCAUUUUGGACAUGACGACCACCUAUUCCCAACCAAAAGCUACCACAGUAACUACAACUGCCUUCUUAUGUAUGUGUUUGGGCCAAAAAUAUUGGUUUGGGCCGAGUUUAGAAUUGUUCUCGGCCUAGAGGCUGUGAUUAAAAGUCGUUGGGGGUUAUCCAACUCGUGGGCCGUUGUUUCGGUCCAAGGACCUCACUUAGAAGUCGUUGGGGGUUAUCCAGCUCGUGGGCUGCGUUGUCAAAGUUGACCGUAUCCCAUUGGGAAUCUGUGGGAUGUGAGUGAGUCCUAUUGCGAGAAGUAGUCUCGACAAGAUAAAGAUGUUGGAGUUUGAGGAUUGUAUACGACCUGAUAACGAGUUGGGUUCAAAGUCUUGGUAGAAGUAGGAUUGACCGAGAUAAGGUUGGAUCCGAGAAAAGAGUUCUAAUUCGAGAAUGAUUGUGAUUUAAUGUAAGACGAUUAUAAAAAGAGGGAGGAGGACAUCAUUGAAGCUCUCUUCAACACAACACACAAACUGCCCUGCACAAACCCUCGCUCUACGCGAAACCUCUCAACAACCUUGAGAUUUUUAUUUUCCUUUUCGCUGACACAUCUUCAAUUUGGAUAAACAGCACUGUGAAGGCAACCGGUGGUAUCUUCAGUUUGGAUAAACAGCACUAUCGUUGUAGAACCAGCUAACCGCGGAACAUCUUCAGUUUGGAUAAACAGCAUUGCGUCAAGAUCGACUGGUUAUCUAUCCAAGUCUCAGUCAAGAACGAUUUUCGAAUCCUUAUUUGCAGAUGUCAUCUCAUCAGCCUUUUCGACGAAGUGGGGUGUUACCAGGUUACUACAUUCAGCACCCUCGGAGCUGAAUUUGAUAUUGAACUUCGCAGAACUAGCAGCCUUGUCUUCAGGCUCUAGAACCCGAAGGCCGAGGUGUGUUCCUUCCUCUGCCGCAGUCGCGAGAUUCAGAAGUCAGCAGCGCGCUCAACGCAACAUCAACAUAUUUUACUCCUCGGCCGAGCUCGGUCGACGAGUUGGCACACCCGCAUACAACCGAAGGACGUAGUUAGCUUUUUAAUUACUCGACCUGCGCGCCACGUAGACUUGGUAGUUUUUAGGGUCAACAGUAUGAAUACUGCAAGAGUGAAAGUUUGUCCCAAAUCCCAGAGUCCAGAGGGCUUCUGAUUGAAUACUACGUAACAAGUUUAAGCAGCUGACGGAAAUAUUCAGCCUGUGAGAUCAAACUGUAGGAUAUCGACAAAUUAGUUUUAAUAUCUUCAUAGUGGUACAAUCAAGCAUGUACGUCAAGAACAAUCAUUCGAAUGCAUAUCAAUACAUAAGUCCUGGUAAAGACAGCACUGCUAGAGGGAAUAAAAGUUAAAUACAAAUUUUGUAAAGAAUGCCAACAACUAUGGAAGUCCAUACGAAACCGCAAUGACAAUCUUCUUUCAUUUUUAAUGUAAGUGAAUUCAACUGAACAUUUUAUUGCAAUCAAUCGAAGCUGAAAGAAGACAAACAACGACAGGGAAAUAUGAAUAUCAGAUGCACCUGACAAACUUGCAUCUGGUGGAAGUAGGCAAUGACCCCAACACUCAUUAAAAUCUUCCCGACUUCCUUAACAGCUCGAUAUUUCUUUACAUUUACCCCAAUGUUCAUUCUCACUCUUCCAACCACCCCCAAAAAUCACCAAAUAAAAGGAUUCUUCGAAAACCGAGUUUUACCUGCAACAGUUAAUCCACAAAGCAGCAUUGUUAGAAUGAGACCAAAAGAGCAGUGCGAAACCGAAAUACAUCAUCAAUGCCACACUUGAUAAAGAGUACGAAAACAUCAACUUGUUCCAAGAACGAAAAGCACAAGGGAAAAAACUUCAGUUCAUCGUACUGACGUUUUUGUUCCACGAUGACAAAAAAUUUAUAGAAACACAUACGGCAAUCAAUCGGUUACAUUAAUCCUUUACAAGUUUCAAUUUUCACACAAAUUUUUAUAACCUUAUAAGCCGAAUUGACGACGGAGAACUAACAAAGCAAAAUAAACUGUAAUCUCACCAAAGUGAAGCAAUUUACAGUAUGACACGGAAGAACACCACCAAGCGGACGCAGUUCCUGCUGUAAUUCACAAAAGAAGACGUCCACGGCAUCUUGAAUUUACUUCUUCAAUUCCAAAUCAAUAGUAAAUGCUCUCACUCUUCCACAGGAAAAACUAAAUGGAAACAAAAUCCUAGAGUUAAUCAAACAUUAUCCGACACUUGGCACAAUAAACACAGAGAGAAAACCCAAUUAGUCUAACGAAUCAAAAUUUCAAAAAAAAAAAAUGAAGAUUAUUUCAUUAGUAGAACAAAGAAAAAGCUCAUUAUCAAUUGACAGCACAACAAUCAAAUUAAAAUAAUUUAUUAAUUUGAGCAGUUUCCUAGCAACAUAAACAGAAGCUAAUAACACAGAAACACUUACAAAACAGACAAUCAGCAGAAUUAAAAAUUACUUAAACAAUGCAAAGGGGGUUCCAAGGUUGGGGUUGCCAAAGUAUGAGUGGUGGUCUGAGGCACUCCACGGUGUGUCAAAUGUUGGUCCCGGGACUUAUUUCGAUGAUCUUAUUCCGGGUGCAACAAGCUUCCCCACUGUUACUCUUACCACCGCAGCGUUCAACCAGUCUUUGUGGAAGCAAAUUGGUCAGGUAUACAUUGUAUCACUACAUUUUUGUCAAUGUUUUUGGUUGGAAAAGAUGACAACACUAGACAAAGCUAUGGAAAUUACUUUUUAUUAAUAAAAAAAUGCUCAAAGCUAUACUUUUCGUUUGCUGGAAUUGUAUAAAUAUAUUAAUUAAUAUAAUUUGAUCUUGUACUAAAUGAAUUUUUUUUCUUACGACUAUUUUAGGUUGUUUCAACAGAAGCAAGAGCCAUGUACAAUCUAGGAAGAGCCGGGUUGACAUAUUGGAGUCCCAACGUUAAUGUAGUGAGGGAUCCGAGGUGGGGAAGAGCCACGGAAACACCCGGUGAAGACCCUUAUGUUGUUGGCGUUUAUGCCUCUAACUACGUCAGAGGCUUGCAGGAUGUUGAGGGCACAGAGAAUGCUACAGAUUUGAACUCUAGACCUCUCGAAGUUUCCUCAUGCUGCAAACAUUAUGCCGCCUACGAUGUAGACAACUGGCUCGGUGUUGAUCAUUACCAUUUUGAUGCCAGGGUAAGUCUAUAAUGUUAGAUAAUAAACCACGUAUAAUCAACUAAUUAAAGUGAUACAAAAUGUGUUUCCUACCAUAUUCUUAUUUCCUUUUUGUUGUGAAAAGGUGACGGAGCAAGAUAUGGCAGAAACUUUCCUAAAACCAUUCGAGAUGUGUAUUAAGGAUGGCGAUGUAAGCAGUGUAAUGUGCUCUUAUAACCGUGUUAAUGGCAUACCUACUUGUGCUGAUCCGAAACUCCUGACACAUACCAUUAGAGGAGAGUGGGAUCUUCACGGGUACGUAUGCUAAUCACCUUUAAAAAUAUUCUCCUAAAGUUUUCAUGGAUAUGAAUAAUUUUUUAUUUUAUUCUUUUGUCUUGCAGAUAUAUAGUCGCGGAUUGUGACUCUCUUGAAGUUAUGGUGGACCACCACAAAUGGCUCAGCGACACCAAUGAGGAUGCUGCUGCACAAGCUUUGAAAGCAGGCCAGUACUCCUUGCAAAAUUUACUUACUGAACCGUUUUUGUUUGGGAAAUACUUGUUGGCGUGAGGGGUUUUGUAAAAAGGGCAUAUAAAUUAUUGUAAAUAUUAGGAAUCCUUUAUUAGGAAGGAUUUGUGAGUCUUUUAUUGUUACCUUGUAGAAUAAGGGUUGUAUCUUGUAUAUAUUUUUCCUUUAUGCAAUACAAUGAAAAUUAAUCCGUAAAAUUCAAGUUGGCAUCAGAGCCUACCGUACCGUAGAAAAAAUUCCCACCAUACCCGUGUAUCGCAAAGAGGAAAGCAGCAAGGUUUCUAGGCUGUCGCUGCAUCUCUAUAGCAAGCCAAACCCUUGUGUGUAGCUGUUGUGUUCUGUGUUGCUGUGCCGUAUACAAUUUGGCUUAGGCAAUAGAAUUUGUAUCUACUGCAGUAACUUCAAGUUUGUAACAAGGCUAUUUGACGUGCUUUAUUGCUGUCUUUAGUGCGGCUGUAAUCAAAAUUGCCGUCUGCGAUUCGCUUUAACAAGGAGUUGUUUACUGAUGAUGUAACAAUUUUUUGCUGCUUGAUGUCCAGUUUGUUGCAGUGAGUAUAACUACAAUUCUUUUUCGUGCUACACUUGAAUUGUUCUCAAGUAUCGUGCCUCUGUUCUUGUUCUCAAGUAAUUGAUUGAUUCAGCAUGUGGUUCCGUAAUUGGUGUGGUGUUGUGAUUGUCGUGUAUUACUGUCUCGUGAGUUAUUACAAUGAUGAAUGCAGGUUGGAUUUUGGAUUCUGGUGCAACAGAUCAUAUGACGUAUAAUAAAACCUUGUUUCAAUCUAUGACACAUCCUCAUAGAAAGUGUGUGGCAACCGCCAAUGGUUCUACUGCUGCUGUUGUUGGAGCGGGAAUAGUGUCUCUUACACCCUCUCUUCCCUUACAUAAUUGUUUAUUGGUUCUGUCAUUGUCCCAUCACUUAUUGUCGGUACCUCAAGUCAAUGAACAAUUGGAUUGUGUUGUAUUAAUGUAUCCUUGUUUCAGGAUAUUUAGACAAAGGAAAUCAUUGGGCAUGGCACUAAGAGAGAGGGUCUAUAUUAUGUGGAUGAUGUGGUUCCUAGAAGAGCUAAUUUGGUUCAUGCGUCACAUAAUAGUAGUCUACAGAAGGUAUUGUUAUUGCAUCAUCGUUUGGGGCAUGCAUCGUUUGGUUAUUUGAAACAUAUAUUACCUGAUUUGUUCAGUGGUAUUGAAGACUCAGAAUUGAAAUGUGAAGUAUGUAUUUUAGCCAAAAGUCAUCGUGCUUCAUUCCCUCCAAGUAUGAAUAGAACAUCUUCUCCAUUUGCGCUAGUACACUCUGAUGUGUGGGGGCCUUCCCUUAUUAGUACUACUUCGGGAAUUAAAUGGUUUAUUACAUUUGUUGAUGAUUGCACUUGUAUGACGUGGGUUUAUCCGUUGAAACAUAAAAGUGAUGUUAGUAUGAUUAUUCGGUCUUUCUCUUAGAUGUUGGUUACACAAUAGUCCUUCGUUAUUAAGGUUCUUCGUACUGAUAAUGAGGGAGAAUAUGUUAACUCUGAGCUAUCUACUUUUUUCCGUGAUCAAGGAAUUCUUCAUGAGACAACGUGUUCGUAUACCCUACAACAGAAUGGGGUAGCUGAGAGAAAAAACCGUCAUAUUUUGGAAACUGCUCGUGCAUUGCUUAUUGGUGGUUCUGUGCCCAAAAGUUUAUGGCCAGACGUCAUCACCUAUGUCGUGUAUGUUAUAAAUCGUAUGCAAUCCCGGGUUGUAGAAUUUCGUACUCCACUCCAAGUGUUGACGGAACAUGUUCCGGUUGUUUCUACCAAUACUCUCACUACUCGAGUGUUUGGAUGCGUUGCUUAUAUUCAUAUUCACAAGAUUCAUCGUAGUAAAUUGGAUCCUUUUGCUCUUCAGUGUGUCUUUGUGGGUUUUGCAUCCACCAAAAAGGUUACAAGUGUUACCAUCCUGCAACUCGCCACAUGUAUAUAACCAUGGAUGUGACUUUCUUUGAGUCAGAAUAUUUUUAUACUCCCGUAUCACCACCCUUCGAUCACAAGGGGGAGAAUUCUAGUUGUGAUCUUGAUAGUGUUUUUGAAUGGUUGGAUGUACAAGAGGUAACAGUUUCAGGGGGAGUGCAUGGUGCCGUGCCGAGUGAUGCAGUUGAUGCUCGGUCUCCUCCUAUCGAAGAGCCUAUUGUGAGUGUUCAGCAGCUUCUUACCGAAGAAGAGGCUGCCAGUCCGUGUGUUGGUGUUGCCGAAGAGGUUUGUACUGAUGGUCAGUCAGCUGUUGCCGAAGCAGCUUCCUCUCCUCUCUCUAGCUCAACAGUGCCGUUGUCCAAUACAUCUUCUCUGGAUAUCCCUGAGGCAAGCACUAGUGAUACUCAUGUAACUAAUGAUGUUAUAAGUACAUAUAAAUUGCCACCAAGGCAAAAUCGUGGUGUACCGCCUAACAGGUUCUCUCCGGAGGGAAAAGUGAAGUAUCCCAUAACCAAUUAUGUGUCCUGUAAAAACCUUUCAUCUGAACGCCAAGCUUGGGUGAAUAAUGUGGAUUCAAUUCAAGUACCAACUCGAGUAGAAAACGCUUUGAAGAGUCGAGAAUGGACAGAAGCAAUGGAUGAAGAGAUGAGGGCAUUGCAGAAAAAUAAUACAUGGGAAGUAGUUGAGCUGCCAAAAGGAAAAAAGCCAGUUGGAUGCUAAUGGGUUUUUACAGUUAAAUACAAGGCUGAUGGAUCACUCGACAGGUAUAAAGCAAGGUUGGUGGCGAAAGGGUAUACUCAAACAUAUGGAGUUGAUUAUCAGGAAACUUUGUCUCCCGUGGCUAAGAUGAAUAGGUAUGAGUCCAUAUCUCACUAGCUGCAAAUUUGAAUUGGCCACUGAAACAGUUUGAUGUAAAAAAUGCAUUUCUUCAUGGACAUCUAGAAGAAGAAGUGUAUAUGGAUUUUCCUCCAGGGUAUAGCAACGGAGGAAAAAUGGGAGUGUGCCAACUGCGAAAGUCCAUUUAUGGGCUUAAACAGUCACCAUGUGCAUGGUUUGGGAGGUUCACUCAGGCCAUGAGAAAGAAUGGGUAUUUUCAGAGUCAUUCUGAUCAUACUUUAUUUGUGAAGCGGAUGAACAAUAAAGUAAUAGCCUUGAUUAUUUAUGUAGAUGAUAUGAUAAUAACAAAUGAUGAUUUAGAUGAAAUUACCAAGCUGGAGAAGAACCUUUCUGCCGAGUUUGAGAUGAAAAAUUUGGGUGACUUAAAGUAUUUCCUUGGUGUUGAAGUUGCUCGUUUGUCCAGAGGUAUUUUCUUGUCUCAACGAAAAUAUGUUCUAGAUUUAUUGAAGGAAACAUGUAUAUUUGGGUGUGAACCAGUGGAUACUCCUAUUGUGGAGAAACAUUACUUGGGAAUUUAUCCGGAUCAAGAACCAAUGGAUAAAGGCAGAUAUCAGAGACUGGUAGGAAGACUAAUUUAUUUAGCUCAUACUCAUCCAGAUAUAGCCUAUGCAGUAAGUUUGGUGAGUCAGUUUAUGCACUCGCGGAGUGUGGAUCAUAUGGCAGCUGUUAUUCGAAUUUUGGCUUAUUUGAAGUUGGCUCCAGGAAAAGGAAUUUUGUAUAAAAAUUCAGGUCAUCUGAGAGUUGAGGGAUUUACUGACGCUGAUUGGGUAGGUGAUGUGACUGAUAGGCGCUCUACUUCUGGAUACUUUACGUUUGUUGGUGGAAAUCUAGUUACAUGGAGAAGUAAGAAGCAAAAUGUGGUGUCAAGGUCUUCAGCUGAGGCCGAAUUUAGAGGUAUGGCACAUGGGAUAUGUGAAGUUCUUUGGUUACGUAAGUUACUUGGUGGUCUAGGUUUCAAAGAAAGAAGGCAAUAAGCUUGUAUUGUGAUAAUAAGUCCGCACGGGAGAUUGCAGAGAACCCGGUACAACAUGAUAGAACAAAGCAUGUGGAGGUUGACCAUCACUUUAUUAAUGAAAAGCUUGAGAAGAAAAUUGUGUCAAUACCAUUUGUGAACUCAGAAGAGCAACUUGCAAAUAUCCUCACUCAUGCCGUGUGUAGUAGGUUGUUUGGUGACUCACUUGUCAAGUUGGACAUGUGUGAUAUCUAUACUCCAACUUGAGGGGGAGUGUUGGCAUGAGGGGUUUUGUAAAAAGGGCAUAUAAAUAUAUUGUAAAUAUUAGGAAUCCUUUAUUAGGAAGGAUUUGAGAUUCCUUUAUUUUUACCUUGUAGAACAAGGGUUGUAUCUUGUAUAUAUUUUUCCUUUAUGCAAUACAAUGAAAAUUAAGCCAUAAAAUUCAAGUAUACUUAUGUUCUUGCUUUUCCGUACUUAAUUACUAGGUUUGAUUAAUUAAGUUCCAUGUUAAUUACUUUAGGGAUGGAUUUGGACUGUGGAGACUACUACCCAAACUUCACUCAAAGUUCGGUGAGGCAAGGGAAGGUGAAGGAGGUAGAAAUCGACCGAUCACUCAAGAACCUUUAUGUGGUGCUUAUGAGGCUAGGUUUCUUCGAUGGGAAUCCCACUUUUAAGUCUCUUGGCAAGAAGGAUGUGUGCUCCAAACAACAUAUUGAAUUAGCAACAAAAGCAGCAAGGGAAGGAAUCGUUUUAUUGAAAAAUGUCAAUGAAACUUUGCCGUUGAAAUCGAAGAAAAUAAAAAAACUAGCCAUCGUCGGGCCUCAUGCCAAUGCUACUGCAGCAAUGAUUGGAAACUAUGCAGGUAUUGAAUCUAAAAAUGCUCUUUGAAUUAAGUUCGACAUGUCAAACAUAAUAUACUCAUCAAUUAAACAUACAAUUCCGAUUUUGUGUUCAGGUAUUCCUUGCCAAUUCACUUCACCUCUCGAUGCAUUUUCAUCCUAUGGAGAAGUUAAGUAUGAAAUGGGAUGUGAUGGAGUUGCAUGUGCAAAUGAUAGUCUGAUAUUCCCUGCCAUGAGGGCCGCGAAGCACGCAGAUGCAUCCAUAAUUUUUGCUGGGUCAGUUGAGGCAGAGAGCUUGGAUAGGGUGGAUCUGCUUCUUCCUGGCUACCAAACCCAGUUUAUCAAUCAAGUUGCUCAAGUCUCCAAGGGUCCAGUGAUCCUUGUAAUCAUGUCAGCUGGUGGUGUUGAUAUCAGUUUUGCCAAACAAAAUGAUAACAUCAAUGCAAUAUUGUGGGCUGGGUACCCGGGGGAGGAAGGCGGUCGUGCCAUUGCAGAUGUUGCUUUCGGACAUUACAAUCCUGGUAAGUACACAUAAAGCUAAAAGAAUCACAUUUUGAGUCCACAUUAGUUGAUGAUAAUGUUGCAUCAUUUAACAUAGUUUUUUUCCUAAAUGUAUUUCUUAGCUUUUAACUUGAUCACCAAACAUCUAAUGUAUAUGUUUACUAUGUUACAGGAGGAAGAUUGCCUCUUACAUGGUAUGAAGCUGGUUACGUGGAUAUGCUACCCAUGACAUCCAUGCAAUUGAGACCAAUUGAUAGCCUAGGCUACCCCGGUCGUACAUACAAAUUCUACAAUGGCUCCACAGUUUACCCAUUUGGAUACGGCCUUAGCUACACCCAGUUCAACUACACUCUGCGAUCUGCAAAGAGAUCUCUGGAUAUAAACUUAAGAAAGUCCCAACACUGCCGCGACAUAGAGUACAAGGAUCAUGAAUACAAGCCACCUUGCCCUGUAGUCCUUAUUGACGACUUGCAAUGCAACCAUGAAUUGGGGUUCGGGGUUGAAGUUAAAAAUGUGGGUAAGAGGGAUGGAAGUGAAGUCAUCAUCGUUUACUCAAAACCACCAAAUGGCAUCGCCGCUACGCAUGCCAAGCAAGUGAUUGGGUUUAAAAGGGUUUUUGUGAAAGCCGGAAAAAGCGAAACUGUUAACUUUGUGUUCAAUGCCUGCAAGAGCUUGGGACUUGUCAACUACAAUGCUUACAAUCUUCUAACAUCAGGCAGACACACAAUUUCGAUUGGCGAUGAUGUCGUCUCCUUCCCUAUUCAAGUCAACAUUUAAGAGUGAAUUUUUAUUGCAAAUGAACUCCCAAUGGGGUAUUAGGCUUAUUGUGAGUAAAUAAUUAUUUAGUAGAAUAAUUAGAAGGCUAGCUGCUGAUGCACCUCCUUUCCCUCUUCAGAUCAGAUCAGCUUGUAAACGGUAGCCAGUUGAUUUCUAAUUUUCAUCUACUUCAUGUCUAUUUGAUCAUCUAUUGGCGCUACACGAUAUCUAAACAAUCUCUCCAAACCCACCUUAUUAGCAGAGCCAAAGAAUUUGGUAAUUUAUAUGGUCUCAUCCAACUGCUAGUUGUUUACUCCUGUUUCCUGGCAUCGAACGUUUCAUAGCUUUUUUUUCAAUUUCCCAGCUAUUUCCUCGGCAUUCAAAGAUUUUCUUUUGAAAAUUACAUGAUAAAAUUUUGGGCGAGAUUCAGUGAAGAUUUCCAUAUCAUAUUAUCCACAACACCACUAACUGAAGUUAACAGAACUGUUACAACCACCCCCAAUUAUAUGUAUUUUAUGUAACCUUACCCCCAAACGGCCACGUGGCAGUCAUCUAACUCACCUCUCUUUUCUCUCUUUCUAUCCCCCCAUCCCCCGAGACCUCUCUCUUCUUCAUCUCUCUCUCUGUACUCUCUCUCUCUCAGCUCUCCCGUACCUCUCUAUCUCUACCUCUCGCCUCAUUCUCUUCUCCUGGACGCUAGGACCUUGUCACCACCAAGGGAGGCUCGCAACAAGCCCAAGACCUCCUCCCUGUGAGUUCGACGGCACGAGAGCAAAAGCUCCAGCGAACCCUCUCCUUUUUCCGUUAGGUAAGUCACAGAUCUCUCCCUAUCUCCGUUAGUGUGAUGCUUGGUGGUGUUUUCUGAGUUAAACCCUUACCUUUUUACGUAGGUUUUGCCUUGGAAUCGAGUUGGAUUAAGCACACCCGUUUUCCGGCGAACCCGUGAGCUUCAAGGGGAUUUCCGGUCACCUCCAACCAUGUCACGGUUAUUUGAAGGUAGCAACCUCUUCCCCUAACCUUGCUCUUCAUGUUCGUACUUAGAUUGGGGUCUAGAACCCUUGUUUUCAGGUGACUGGAGCUGUAGCAGCUCCGGCCUUCUUCUUCGACAAACUAGGCCUUUCAGGCCGUUUAGAAACCCCCCAUCGGGCCUUAGCCAUUUUGGGCCAGCCCAGUACCCUAGCCCGCAUGAUUUUUAUUUUUAGUUUAGGUUUUAAAAACCCAAAAGGCCACGGGCCUUAUACUGUAGGGCUUUGGGCCCGUAAUCAAAACCCAGUCCAUUCUUUUAAUUGUUUUAAAGGCCUUAUAGUCUUGGGCCUUUAUUAUUUAUUUGAGGAUUGAAGCCCAGCCCUUUUUGGCCUUAAGGCCUUCGGGCCAUAAGUGUGUGGGUGUGUGUUGUGGGGGUAUGUGGGGGUGCAGCCCGUGUGUGUGUGCGUGUGUUUAGCGUGUGUGUGUGCGUGUGUUUAAGUGUGUGUGUGCGUGUGUGUAUAUGCAUGCCGUGCAUGUGUGUGUGCUGGUGGUGUGUGUAUGUGUUUGGGCUUAAGCCUAAACCCCAUUCCUUUACCCUAAACUCUUUUAACCCAAAAACUCUAGGUUCCUAAAACCCAUUAGACCCUAACCCAUCCAACCCAAAUCCCUUAAUUUAUUUAGUUCAAGCUCAAUCUUUUAGAAAAUCCUUUUAUUUAUUUAUUACAUUUUGGUGCUUAGGUAAAGUUACUAGUGGAGAAAUUCUUAAUCCUUAUCCGCGCGACUCUUCUGCUAAGGAAUAUUUGUGAGUGGACCCCUUCUAAAAUUACAUGAUUUUAUAAAUUAAUUGCAUAAAUGAUUAGCAUGCCUACGAAUUUAUGAUUCGAUUUAUGUUAAGCCUGUUUACUGAAUUUAUUGAUUUUCGUCUCGUGUUUUUGGUGAGGAAUUAACUGUUAGCCUAUUUUUGAGCUAUAUUUAUAUAUAUAUAUAUAUAUAUAUAUAUAUAUAUAUCGUAUUUUCUAUAAAAACCAUGAUCUGGUAGACUAUCUGAUGGAUGACGAUAGGAUGCUAGAACAUGUUUUAGAAACCCCUCUUUAUAGUAUAGACGAUGGAUGACUUUAUACUAUGAAGUGGUUAUUUAUGAGAGGCGUAACUAUUUGUGCGUACCUAGAGGACACUAUGCCGCCUGGGGCGAGGAUUUGGUGUUGGCAUUUAGGCCGGGAGAAAUAAUCCCUAGCUACGGGCUGAGGGACAUGGAGCAGGCAUUGGGCCUGGAGUUGGUAAUCUCUGGCUACGGGCACAGAGACCAUGGAGCAGGUAUUGGGCCGGGAGAUAUAUUUAUUCAGUGAUCUUUCUAGCAGCACACCACGCUUACGAGACGAUCUACAAUACGUUUAUUGUUUUGAUGUCCGCGAUGUUAUGCCGCGGUAUGAUUUUGGAGAUAUUUUUGGCAUGCUAGGAUUUUGAUUAAAUCCAUCACUUAUUAUGUUAGUAGUUUUCAUUAUAUAAAAUGUGGGGGUUAGUACUUUGAUAACUGUUUUAUUAUUAUUGUAUUUAUGAACUUGGUCCACUCACCUUUGUUUUUGCGCCCCCAUUCAGGUCAUAGAAACGAGGACUACGACUCGAUGUACGAGGCAUUCCCUUACCAGUAGCAGUCUACUCCUCACUUGUGUGAUAUCUUGUAAUGAUCUUUCUUUUUGUAAAUCUUGUUUUAGAUUGUGUCUUGUACACUCUAGACACUUCCUUAAACUUUGUUCAUUACUUCUAGAUUCUAAUAUUUACUCAUGAAUAUUUUCUCCUACUCAUUUCUCUUGUAAUCAAUUAAUGGCUUUCAUCACCCUCGGGUGUCGGCCAGCAUGUGUCUAUCCUGGUAUUCGAGGAAUAUCAGGGUCGGGGCGUGCCAGAACUGACCUUAUGAGAUCGCUUGCGAUUACGAAAAACAGAAAUAUACCGUUCAGAUAAGAUGUCAGUAAUUUAUGGAUAAUGUGUUCCAGCAUAUAAUUAACUAAUUUCUUGAGUUUUAAAUGAUAAACAUAUGAUUUCAGUUAAUUAAGUUCCAUGCAUUCUAAUUAAUCAGUACAGGAUUGGGUUUGGACUGUGGAGCUUACUACCAGAAUUUCACCGAAACGGCUGUGGAGCAAGGAAAGGUGAAUGUGGUCGACAUAGAUAGGGCACUGAAUUACCUUAUGUUUUGCUUAUGAGGCUAGGCUACUGAUGGAAACCCUACUUUCAAAUCUCUUGACAAGAAGGAUAUAAUUAUAUGCACCAGAGAGCAUAUUGAGUUAGCCACACAAGCAGCAAAGAGAAGAAACAAUGCCAAUGAAACUUUGCGUAGAACUCUGCUAAGUUCAAAACCCUGGCCGUCGUCAGGCCUCAUGCCAAUGCUACUACCAAGGUCAUGAUCGGAAAAUAUGCUGGUAUUGAAAGUGCAAAAAAUGUUUCCAAACUCUUACGUGUUUUACAGAACAAAUGUGUUACAUGUAAGUUUGUAACAUUAUUACUUACUACAUUGUGUACGUGUUCCUUGCAGUACACUUCACCUCCUGAUGCUUUCAAAUCCUAUGGAAAAGUGAGGUAUGAAGUGGGAUGUGAUGUUGCAUGUCUACAUGAGAGCUUGAUAUAUAUAUUCCCUGCCAUGGCAGCCGCCAAGGAAGCUCAUGCAACCAUAGUUAUGGCGGGAUUGGACUUACCGGUUGAAGCGGAGGGCUUGGACAGAGCUGACCUCCUUCUUCCUGGUUACCAAACUCAAUUAUCAACCAAGUUGUUCGCCAAACAAAAUGAUAAUUGUAAGUACAAGAAUUGUUAAUAGAACUGCAUUUUUAGACCACAUGAUGCGACAAUUAAUAUGUUAGCCAAUAUUUAAUUAUAAUAAAGAUAAUAGAUGUAAUAAGUACAUAUCAAUUGCUUCGUCAUGUGAUCAGCUAACAUCCUAACAUUAUAUGUUGACUAUAUUACAGGAGGAAGAUUACCUCUUACAUGGUAUGAAGCUGGUUACAUCGAAAUGCUACCUAUGACAUCCAUGCCAUUGAGGCUAAUCGAUACCCUAGGCUAUCCUGGUCGUACAUACAAACUCUUAAAUGGCUCUACCGUUUAUCCAUUUGGCUAUGGCCUUAGCUACACUCAAUUCAACUACACCCUCAUAGCUGCAGUUGAGUUGAUGAAUAUUUUGUUGAACAAGACCCAACACUGCCACAAAUUUAAGUACCGCGAUGAAACAUACAAGCCAUCCUGCCCAGCAGUCCUUUUAGAUGACUUGUAACACGAUUUUUCAGUCAAGGUUGAAGUGAAACAUGUAGGCUAAAGGGAUCGGAGUGAGGUUGUUUUUGUUUACUCAAAGCCCCCAGAUGGAAUUGUAGGCACUCAUGCUAAGCAGGUGAUUGGGUUUGAGAGGGUGUUUGCGAAAGCUGGACAAAGAAUGGAGGUUAAUUUUGUGAUCGGUGUCCCUAAGAGCUUGGGAAUUGUUGAUUACACUGGUUACAAGCUUUUUACCAUCGGGGAUACACGCGAUCAUGGUUGGAGAAGAUCAUGGGAUCUCAUUCCCCCUUCAAAUUAACUUUGAGACCAGGUAAAAUUGGUUGUUAAUUGACAAUUGUAUUCAACUUUUAGUGCUAAUUAAUUAGGUUAUUUCGAAUGACUAAUUAGUAGACUUUUUAAUGCAUUUACCUCACUUUUCCUCUGUUUAACCUUCAACAUGUAUACAGUUCACCCUAAUGAUCAAUAAAGUACUCUUUUCUUCUCUUUUCAUUUUGGUUCCUCAUUCCUCUUCAGAUUCUAAAAGUCAUUAUGCACUUUUGUCUAGUCGUCCCUCUUUUAUUGUUCUACUACGAAACAGUGUAUAACAACAUUUUUAAAGCGUCAAUAGCAUCUUUGUUUUUAUAUUACUUACACAUGCACACACACAUAUAUAUAUAUAUAUAUAUAUGCAAGAAUCAAUUUCUACCAUGAGGAAUAAUCUUAAAGGUUAUUCCAAAUUAAAUAUGCAAGAAUCAAUUUCUACCAUGAGGAAUAAUCUUAAGAUUAUUCCAAAUUAAACUUGACAACGAUGCAGGUUGAAAAAGACUUUACGUAAAAGCCUUGAGGUUAGUUCAAAUAGUGAAAAAGCAGAAAAAUGAGUUACGAUUAAGGUAGGUUAAAAGAAAUCGGUUUCUUUCAAUAUAACUAAAGAAAAAAAAUUACGGUACAACUAAGAAGUAAAUAGUUCCCAUGAUUACAUCCAACUGAGAAUGGAUUCUAUCCAAAUGUAAGGUCCAAGCUAACAUGAACACAAAAUUAAGUAAAUUUGUUAUUCUUUGUUUCAAAAAUUUGCACAAGGAAAUAAAGUAGAUAUAUGGAUGGGCAAAAAGCCAUCAGAAAACAAAGAGAACUGGGAGGGAUGAUGGGUAGGGUAGUCCCAACUUGACCAAAAUUGAUCCCAAAGAGGGGGGCCAAAAAGGCACAAAAACUACCAAGCAAGAAAUAUUGGGGUAAGUGGGGAAAAGAGGUUUUCAGUGGUGCGCCACUAUCCUCAAAUCUUAUUGGAACCUAAGAAAUAUGUACAGGGAUGGGACUUGGGAGGAGGCAAUACCUCCAUCCAUCCAUGUCCCCACUAUUUCCAGCACCUCAAAAAGCUAAUAAAAAAGCAUCCAAAUUAGAGAGUGUAUAACUAAAUUAUAAAAAUAAAAUAAAAAAAUAUAAAAAAACAAGAAGAUAGUGACAGAGAUUUGAGCAAGUCAUGCUCACAUAAAGCAACCAGUGAUCAUCUGCAGCUUUUGAGAAAAGCAUCAGCUUUUAACCGAAUCCAGCACCAAAUACAAGUGUGCCACAAACAUGUCUGCUGAUUGGUUGUGAGGGGAGACGCAAGAAUUCACCAUGGAUGCAUGCAUGGCCAUCAUGUUCGCGUUCCUGGAUUUCCAACGGAUGAAUGUGAGAGGUAUGGAAAGGAGAUAAAACAGUGACGUGUCUCUGAAUCAUGCGACAGGAUUAAAUGGAUCGUUAUGGUUUCGUUUGGUGCCUGGAACUUGAUUGGAUUGGAUUACUAAAUAUAUUGAAAGUACGUCGAAGAAAAAAAGGCAGAAAUUUACUACCGCUUGAAAAAUAGAAGUUGAAUUAAAGGAACACAUUUUUCAAUCCCGCAAAUUUCCACGGAUUAGAAGGAAUACGUUUGUUUCAUGUCAAAUCCCUUCUAAUCUUCGUUAAAUGCAAAAUCAUUAUAUCAUCAUGUCAUCAAUAUAUCCAAUAUUUUACGAUAUAUCCAAUUCAAAUCCAUCGCAGGGACCGAACGAGUAUAAACAAUAAUGGAACAUCAAAUAUAACUAACAGAAGCAAAUUUGAGUUAUUAACCAACAGAUGCUGGAGUGCAUGGUUACAUAGCAGUCGAUAGCUGCAACUUGCCGUGCGAAAUUAAGUGAAAUACAAGAAAAUGAGCAUGCAUACUACAAAUCAAAGAGAGGUCUGGAAUACACUUCAGGAGCCGGACGAAAGAGCUCCAAAAACCAGAUUCAGAGUGACAACAGCACAGCCAUUACGUUUAAUGGCCCAAUACGAGGGUUAAUCGCCUUCGUUUAACGCGGGGAAUGAUAAAUAACUACAAGAGUUCCGUUAUUACCACCAUAGCUCAAGUGCACGUUCAGUCGUUCAAAUUCUCAACUCCAAUCUUCUGCAGCUCAACCUUGAGAGACUUCAAGUACUGAACAGCUUCGUCCAGAACUGCGACGGUGUUCAUUUCAUUCCCACCAGGUACAAUCCCUCUCAGCGCCCUCACCAUCUUCUUCAUUUUCUGGCGUUUCCUUUCACUGUUGCAGCUGCUGCUGCUACCAAUGCCAGAAGACUUUUCAAGUGAAGAACGCAGCCUUUCCUUCUUGGUUUUCAAACCAUUACUGGAGCAAGAAUCAGAGAAUGAGCUCCCAUAAUUUCCAUGAGUUCGUGCUGUACUGACCUCUUCCUCAUCAUAAUCUUCCAGCUCUUCCUCAUCCAAGCUCAACAAUGCAUCAAUAUCAUCGGAGUCCUCCUUCAGAGUAGAUGAUGCUUCUCUAUUGUCAUUAUUUCCCUCGUUCAAUCCCAGAUUGUCUUGGAUGUAAGCUGCACAGAGGUUAAAGGCAGGACCAGUAAUUUUGUGGGCAAUUUCAGGAUUAAACAUAAUCUGACUUCGAUGAUCAGUCUGGUCGAAGAUAAUGAAAUUCUUCGGGCAGAUGCUAGAGGUUUGAAAUUCAACACCAUGGAAAGGUUUAAAGAGAUUUGCCUCAUUAGGUAAAACUGCCCCAUAAGCAGAAGCAACUGGAAUGUGCAUGUAAUUAUUACCCACUUGAUUUGCAAAGGGCGGAGCUGCCUUGUUGGGGUCAAACUGCUGGCCACUCUGCAUCAGAAAUUCUAACUAAGGCUUAACAGACGGAGUUUCUACCGAAGUGUGAGAUUCUUUGACUUGUAACUGGACGAAG